UACGGAGGGUGCGAGCGUUGUCCGGAAUCACUGGGCGUAAAGGGCGCGUAGGCGGCUGGGGAAGUCCGUGGUGAAAGCUCGUGGCUCAACUGCGAGUCGGCCAUGGAUACUCCUCGGCUCGAGCACUGUAGAGGCAGGUGGAAUUCCGGGUGUAGCGGUGGAAUGCGUAGAGAUCCGGAAGAACACCGGUGGUGAAGGCGGCCUGCUGGGCAGUAGCUGACGCUGAGGCGCGACAGCGUGGGGAGCAAACAGG
rnacentral:rRNA from 1 species